ACCAAUGUGGCAUAGUGGUUUGAGUGUUGGACUAUGACUCUGGAGACCACGGUUCAAUUCCCCACUUGGCUA
rnacentral:tRNA from 1 species